rnacentral:lncRNA from 1 species
GUGCUGCCCCCCUGCUCUGUCUGCACCGCAAGCUCACCUCCUGGCUCCGCGUUCGGUUCGGCACUUGGAACUGGAUCUGGCGACUGUGCCGGCGCGCCGCCUCUGCCGCGGUCCUAGCGCCGCUCGGCUUCACGCUCCGCAAGUCCCAGGCGUCUGCAGGAACCGCCAUCACCACCCGCACCCGCGCCGGGGGUCGUGCCUGCCCGCAGCCCACCACCAGGUGCGCUGGCGCGCGGACGGCCCUUCCCUGGAGAAGCUGCCUGUGCACAUGGGCCUGGUGAUCACCGAGGUGGAGCAGGAACCCAGCUUCUCGGACAUCGAGAGCCUCGUGGUGUGGUGUAUGGCCGUGGGCAUCUCCUACAUUAGCGUCUACGACCACCAAGGUAUUUUCAAAAGAAAUAAUUCCAGAUUGAUGGAUGGAAUUUUAAAACAACAGCAAGAACUUCUGGGCCUAGAUUGUUCAAAAUGCUCACCAGAGUUUGCAAAUAGUAAUGACAAAGAUGAUCAAGUUUUAAAUUGCCAUUUGGCAGUGAAGGUGCUAUUGCCGGAAGAUGGAAAAGCAGAUAUUGUGAGAGCCGCUCAGGACUUUUGCCAGUGAGUAGCCCAGAAGCAAAGGAGACCCACAGAUGUGGAUGUAGAUAUGUUAGUUUACUCAGUUCAAAUGGUUGUCCUGAUCCUGAUUUAGUACUGAAGUUCGGUCCUGUGGACAGCACACGAGGCUUUCUUCUCUGGCACAUCAGAUUGACUGAGAUUGUCUCUUUGCCUUCCCAUGUAAACAUCAGUUAUGGGGACUUUUUCUCUGCCCUUCGUCAUUAUGCAGCCUGUGAACAGCGUCUGGGAAAGUGGUGGUCAUUGGUUGCAUAAUUUGAUCUGAGGCUUAUGGAGGAAAGGACCCAAGUGACUCUGAUGUUUAGAAAGCACCUAUGAAACCCUGUACACACCUAGUUCAUAAUCCUCAUAAUUUAUCAACAAACACAAAGAAGUGUCUUACUUGAGAGUGAGUGUGUGCGUGUGUGCGUGCACACAUGUGCACGUUUGUAUGUGUGGAAAUAAACAUAAAUGGGGACGUGUUGGAGAAGGAAAUACAUAGACCUACAACUUUGAGCAUAUAGCAGUGAUGUUUUAGGAACUGAAAUGUCACACUUAAUAAAGUCUUCAGCCCAGCUACUUCCCUGUUUUCGUGGGGAGAAGGGGGCCUGAUUAGAACUGUUCUGGUUGUGUUUGGCGGGAGGGGAAUAAAUUUUGUUCAGUCCUUCUUAGUGACCAAACUUUAAUUUUUAGGAAUAACAUAUUGACUUACUGAACUGAAGCAUUCUGAGUUGAAAGGAGCCCCAGAGGAAAGGAGUUCUGUGUUGCUCACAUGUUAAAAGCUUGCUCACCUUCAGAGCAGAGGGAAUACCUAUCUUCAGAUAUCCGCCCAUUUUCAUCUCUUCAUUAUAGUCAAACAGUGUGACUUGAGAGUGUUGCUCUGGUGUCUGUAUUCUGGCUUAUGAAGAUUAUUUGAAAAAGAACUCUUACUACAUUGAAAUGCAGACUUUUAAAAAUUUAAAUAUUGGAUUAGGCAGUCAAAAAACCAAACAAGCAUAAAAGGUCAGUAAGUUGUAAUCUUAAAAGUAAAGGUGGAAAACUCAUUAUAAAUGGAAGAAAAGUUUUGAUUUCCUUUUUUGUUUGAUGGGCAGUAUGCCAUAUUAUAUCCAAAGUUGGUUUAAAAAAUACUUCCAUCAACUAUUUUUAUUUAAAAUAAACAUUUGAGGGAAGUUACCAAGGCAGCUUUUUUCCUCAAAAGUAACCUGUUCCUCUUUGGAACAGCACAUUUUAGGGGCAUGGUUAAUACCUGAGAUUUUUACUCAGUAAACCUGAUGGUUACCGUGUGUAAAAUAUCUUUAAGUAGGAUUGAAGGCCUCUGUGGGGAAUAUAAUGUUACCAAAGCCUAUAAAAAUAAAUUUUACAUGUUCUUUUUUAUGACAGAGAGCAGCACUGGUUCUGUUAUUUUUUAAAAUGAAUAACUGAUUUCUUGACAGGUGUUUAGUAUUUCUUCCCUCACUGCUGAUUCUUGGAUAGAAACCAUUCUUUGUAUUUGAUAGACUGUUUUCAGAAAACUCUUAUCAACAAGUGUACAAUAGUUAUCUAAAACUGUACAUUUAGAAUGGAGCAGUUUAAUACUAGAUCUCAGAAAUUUGAAAAAUAGCAAAGAAGAGUGGAUUUGGAAAGCAUGGUCUACAAUUGCUUGUCAAUUCUGAAGCUAUGAAGAAUAAAUGUUUCAGCUUUGGAUUAUGAAACCCCGUUUAUGAUUUUUAAAACACACUUGAAAUAAAAAUGAUUGAACUAAAUUUUGGUCCGGUGACAUCAUUUUGCACUGCAUAGCCCAUUAUACAUUGUAAGUCUUUUUGUUUUAAUUUAUUACUGAGAGUUUUCUGUGAAGCUACAGCAUAUCUAAUCAGAGAAUUUCUGAUUUGUUUCCUUAUACUGUGAUUAUGUUAUAUUAAGGCAUUUGUAGUGCAGCUUAAGACUGAAUUUAUGCUUUUUGUAAACAUGAUCGGUGUAAAUGUCUUAUAAACAUUCUGGAGUAUGUAUAACUUUAAUGAAUGAAAUUUAAUGGACCUGAUUAAAAUAAAGGGAUUUAAUCUUUGUUAAAGUGAAGUUAGUGGAAUAAAUUACCUACUGGAAUAUAGUCCAAGUCACUAAAGGUUUAAUAUUUGCAUUUUUGUGCUUUUAUUUUCUCCUUCCAUUCAUAAUUAUAUACUUGAAAGUACAUCUGUAGCCUAUGACUUGAGUCUCUUGAACUUCUAGGAAGAGGCAAACUACAAACUACUAGGAUUCUGAUUUCAGAUAUAGGCAUUCCAGAAUCUUCUCUUUACGAGUUCACCUGCUAGUAUAAUCUCCACAACUUGAAUGGCCUUGGUUGUUCUGUAAUUGCUGCCAAAAUCAUCACAAGCUGUACGUCAUCAAGGCUCCCUUUGCACUCCCAAGAAGAACUGUUCAUUUUAAACAAAAGUGUAUGUCUUUAUUUGUAUUGGAAAAUAUUGUCUUUAAAUUGUUUCUUGUUGACACUUCCCACAAUGGAAAAAUUACCAAAUUAAACCUGUUUUAUGGAUGGCAGCUUGGAGCAUAGCAAGAAGUUGGAGGAUUUGAAUUCCAUUCCCAGUUCUCAUUGCGUUUUGUUUCUUAAAACUAUAAUAAUUGGUUACUGUUAUAAAGUUUAAAAGGUGGUUUUAAUAUGAAUAGCAAAUUCUGGUAUAUUGUGACUAACGCUUAAGAAUGCCUGUCUUUGAGAGGAAGGUGUUAUAAUAUUAAUCAACAGUGCCAAAUACACUGUGCAUAUCUACAAUUUAAUCUUUGAAUGUUUGUUACUGGAUUAGCUCCCUCCUCCUUCUGUGUGAUGGUACCAUGCAUAGAGUCAAUCAAAUCCUUGUGAUGUUUUGUAUGGACUUUGACAACAUGUAACUAAUGUGUAAAGCAAGUUUUUAUGAUUAAGGAAUCAAAUUUAUUGAAUUUUAUUAUUGAAAGUUGAAACUUAACAUGUAUAAACAAAAAACAAUAAAAUAAUAAACUAUUU